GUCCUCGUGGCCGAGCGGAGAGGCGCCGGCCUCCUAAGCCGGUUCGACGCAGGUUCGACUCCUGCCGAGGACG
rnacentral:tRNA from 1 species